rnacentral:rRNA from 1 species
UACGUAGGGCGCAAGCGUUGUCCGGAAUUAUUGGGCGUAAAGAGCUCGUAGACGGUCUGUUACGUCCGCUGUGAAAACCCAGGGCUUAACCCUGGGCUUGCAGUGGAUACGGGUAGACUAGAGGCAGGUAGGGGAGAAUGGAAUUCCCGGUGUAGCGGUGAAAUGCGCAGAUAUCGGGAAGAACACCCGUGGCGAAGGCGGCACUCUGGGACGGUACUGACGCUGAGACGCGAAAGCGUGGGGAGCGAACAGG